rnacentral:rRNA from 1 species
GAUGAACGCUGCCAGCAUGCUUAACACAUGCAAGUCUUUGGCGAAGCUGUGCUUGCACUGCCUAGCCAAGGCGGACGGGUGAGUAACGCGUAAGGAACUUGCCCUGCAGUCAGGGAUAACAGACGGAAACGACUGAUAAGACCUGGUAAAGUCAGGCGGACUCAUGUCCAGCCUGAUGAAAAGAGAUGCUGCAGGAGAGCCUUGCGUCCUAUUAGCUUGUUGGUGGGGUAACGGCCCACCAAGGCGAUGAUAGGUAGCCGGCCUGAGAGGGUGGACGGCCACAAGGGGACUGAGAUACGGCCCUUACUCCUACGGGAGGCAGCAGGGGGGAAUAGUGGACAAUGGGGGCAACCCUGAUCCAGCAAUUCUGUGUGCACGAUGAAGGUUUUCGGAUUGUAAAGUGCUUUCAGCAGGGAAGAAAAAAAUGACGGUACCUGCAGAAGAAGCGACGGCUAAAUACGUG